AGCGGCGGAUGGGUGAGUAACACGCGGGGAACCUGCCCCUAAGUCUGGGAUACCAUUUGGAAACAGGUGCUAAUACCGGAUAAUAAAGCAGAUCGCAUGAUCAGCUUUUGAAAGGCGGCGUAAGCUGUCGCUAAGGGAUGGCCCCGCGGUGCAUUAGCUAGUUGGUAAGGUAACGGCUUACCAAGGCGACGAUGCAUAGCCGAGUUGAGAGACUGAUCGGCCACAUUGGGACUGAGACACGGCCCAAACUCCUACGGGAGGCAGCAGUAGGGAAUCUUCCACAAUGGACGCAAGUCUGAUGGAGCAACGCCGCGUGAGUGAAGAAGGUUUUCGGAUCGUAAAGCUCUGUUGUUGGUGAAGAAGGAUAGAGGUAGUAACUGGCCUUUAUUUGACGGUAAUCAACCAGAAAGUCACGGCUAACUACGUGCCAGCAGCCGCGGUAAUACGUAGGUGGCAAGCGUUGUCCGGAUUUAUUGGGCGUAAAGCGAGCGCAGGCGGAAAAAUAAGUCUAAUGUGAAAGCCCUCGGCUUAACCGAGGAACUGCAUCGGAAACUGUUUUUCUUGAGUGCAGAAGAGGAGAGUGGAACUCCAUGUGUAGCGGUGGAAUGCGUAGAUAUAUGGAAGAACACCAGUGGCGAAGGCGGCUCUCUGGUCUGCAACUGACGCUGAGGCUCGAAAGCAUGGGUAGCGAACAGGAUUAGAUACCCUGGUAGUCCAUGCCGUAAACGAUGAGUGCUAAGUGU
rnacentral:rRNA from 1 species